rnacentral:rRNA from 1 species
UACGGAGGGUGCAAGCGUUAUCCGGAUUCACUGGGUUUAAAGGGUGCGUAGGAGGGCAGGUAAGUCAGUGGUGAAAUCUCCAAGCUUAACUUGGAACUGCCGUUGAUACUAUCUGUCUUGAAUAUUGUGGAGGUGAGCGGAAUAUGUCAUGUAGCGGUGAAAUGCUUAGAUAUGACAUAGAACACCAAUUGCGAAGGCAGCUCACUACACAAUCAUUGACUCUGAGGCACGAAAGCGUGGGAUCAAACAGG